AUGAUUUUCAAUAUUCAAAUAGCGGAGAUUCACAAAGAAGUAUUGCGCUAUUUACCAGUGAGUGAUAUUACUAGACUGAUCUUUUGGUGGGAAAUGUUCUUCAUUUUAGAUAAUGAAACCAUUCCAUUACUACCAACCCACAGAAAUACGACCUCUCUGAGAUAUACGGUUUAUGCCGGAAAGGUACGAAGUUGGACUUAUUUGGAAACAUUGGGCAAUUUACUUUAUACCUACUACUAUUCCGUCUGGUUUUUGGUUUUUAGUCUGAUUUUAUUAGUUGCUAUGAUUGGGCCUUUGUCCCAACGAACUAAUUAG
rnacentral:rRNA from 1 species